rnacentral:rRNA from 1 species
AGAGAGAGCUUGCUUUCUCGAGCGAGUGGCGAACGGGUGAGUAACGCGUGAGGAACCUGCCUCAAAGAGGGGGACAACAGUUGGAAACGACUGCUAAUACCGCAUAAGCCCACGACCCGGCAUCGGGUAGAGGGAAAAGGAGCAAUCCGCUUUGAGAUGGCCUCGCGUCCGAUUAGCUAGUUGGUGAGGUAACGGCCCACCAAGGCAACGAUCGGUAGCCGGACUGAGAGGUUGAACGGCCACAUUGGGACUGAGACACGGCCCAGACUCCUACGGGAGGCAGCAGUGGGGAAUAUUGCACAAUGGGGGAAACCCUGAUGCAGCGACGCCGCGUGGAGGAAGAAGGUCUUCGGAUUGUAAACUCCUGUUGUUGAGGAAGACAAUGACGGUACUCAACAAGGAAGUGACGGCUAACUACGUGCCAGCAGCCGCGGUAAAACGUAGGUCACAAGCGUUGUCCGGAAUUACUGGGUGUAAAGGGAGCGCAGGCGGGAAGACAAGUUGGAAGUGAAAUCCAUGGGCUCAACCCAUGAACUGCUUUCAAAACUGUUUUUCUUGAGUAGUGCAGAGGUAGGCGGAAUUCCCGGUGUAGCGGUGGAAUGCGUAGAUAUCGGGAGGAACACCAGUGGCGAAGGCGGCCUACUGGGCACCAACUGACGCUGAGGCUCGAAAGUGUGGGUAGCAAACAGGAUUAGAUACCCUGG